rnacentral:rRNA from 1 species
CCAAUAGCGUAUAUUAAAGUUGUUGCAGUUAAAAAGCUCGUAGUUGAAUUUCGGGAUCAUCAGGUUGGUCUUGCCUCUGGUAAGUACUGGUCUCGAUGGUUCCUCCUUCUUGUAGAACCGUAAUGCCAUUAAUUUGGUGUUGCGGGGAAACAGGACUGUUACUUUGAAAAAAUUAGAGUGUUUAAAGCAGGCGAUCGCUUGAAUACAUUAGCAUGGAAUAAUGAAAUAGGACGUUCGAUCCUAUUUUGUUGGUUUCUAGGAUUGACGUAAUGAUUAAUAGGGAUAGUUGGGGGCAUUAGUAUUCAAUUGUCAGAGGUGAAAUUCUUGGAUUUAUUGAAGACUAACUACUGCGAAAGCAUUUGCCAAGGAUGUUUUCAUUAAUCAAGAACGAAAGUUAGGGGAUCGAAGACGAUCAGAUACCGUCGUAGUCUUAACCAUAAACUAUGCCGACUAGGGAUCGGAUGAUGUUAAUUUUUUAAUGACUCAUUCGGCGCCUUACG